CUGGCAACACGGUAGGUGCUACAGCGGAUAGCAGAGAGCGGGUUUAGUUUGUUAAAAGCUUUUUGCCCUUUAACAAUCUACACAGGAAGCCCACUCUUUACAAAAUGGGGGUGAAAGAUCGCCCUCAGUGCUAUUUUGAUGUGGAAAUCAACAGGGAACCAGUUGGACGAAUUGUCUUUCAACUGUUCUCCGAUAUUUGUCCCAAGACAAGCAAAAAUUUUCUUUGCCUGUGCACUGGU